rnacentral:rRNA from 1 species
GGCUCAGGAUGAACGCUAGCGGCGUGCUUAACACAUGCAAGUCGAACGGAGUAUUGACGCUGAACGAUUGACUAGCUUGCUAAGAUUGAGUCUGUUGAUACUUAGUGGCGGACGGGUGAGUAACGCGUGGGUAACCUGCCGUAUGCAGGGGGACAACAGUUGGAAACGACUGCUAAUACCGCAUAUGCACACAGUACCGCAUGGUACAGGGUGGAAAGAAUUUUCGGCAUACGAUGGACCCGCGUCUGAUUAGCUGGUUGGUGAGGUAACGGCCCACCAAGGCGACGAUCAGUAGCCGGCCUGAGAGGGUGAACGGCCACAUUGGGACUGAGACACGGCCCAAACUCCUACGGGAGGCAGCAGUGGGGAAUAUUGCACAAUGGGGGAAACCCUGAUGCCAGCGACGCCGCGUGAGUGAAGAAGUAUUUCGGUAUGUAAAGCUCUAUCAGCAGGGAAGAAAAUGACGGUACCUGACUAAGAAGCCCCGGCUAACUACGUGCCAGCCGCAGC